rnacentral:rRNA from 1 species
UGGGGAAUUUUGGACAAUGGGGGAAACCCUGAUCCAGCCAUCCCGCGUGUGCGAUGAAGGCCUUCGGGUUGUAAAGCACUUUUGGCAGGAAAGAAACGUCAUGGGUUAAUACCCCGUGAAACUGACGGUACCUGCAGAAUAAGCACCGGCUAACUACGUGCCAGCAGCCGCGGUAAUACGUAGGGUGCAAGCGUUAAUCGGAAUUACUGGGCGUAAAGCGUGCGCAGGCGGUUCGGAAAGAAAGAUGUGAAAUCCCAGAGCUCAACUUUGGAACUGCAUUUUUCACUACCGGGCUAGAGUGUGUGAGAGGGAGGUGGAAUUCCGCGUGUAGCAGUGAAAUGCGUAGAUAUGCGGAGGAACACCGAUGGCGAAGGCAGCCUCCUGGGAUAACACUGACGCUCAUGCACGAAAGCGUGGGGAGCAAACAGG